GUAGUUGCUGUGCUCUUGGAGGAAUUUUGGAAGGUUGGCCACUUCUGGGAAUUUUCACUACUGUGCAGAGUUUUUUCCAUUUGGAGAUAAUGGCUCUCACUGUGGUACUUUGGAGUCCCACAGCCUUUGAAAUAGCUUUGUAACCCUUCCCAGACUGAUGAAUUUCAAUCACCUUCUUCCUCAUUAUUUGUGUUUUUUGUUUGUUUGUUUGUUGUUGUUUUUUUACUUUGGCAUAGUGUGUAACUGGGUAAGACUUUUUAAACUUCAUGCUGCUGAAAAAGUUCUAUUUAAGUGUCUAUUUGAUUGAACAGGGUUUUCAAUAAUCAGGCCUGGUUGUGUCUAGUCCACCUGAACCCUAUUAUGAAUGCAGUUUCAGAUGUUGGGGAAAUUAGCAACUACUGAGGCAAAUACAUUUUCACACAGGCCCAGUUGGUAUUGGAUAACAUUUUUGCUUUAAUAAAUAACUAUCAUUUAAAAACUGUAUUUUGUGCUUACUCAGGUUGCCUUUGUUGUAUCUUAGAUUUUGUUUGAAUUUCUGAAACAAUUUAGUAUGAGAUUUACACAAAAAGAGAAGAAAUCAGGAUGGGGGUGAAUACUUUUCCACAGCACUGUAAAUGGAUGGGUGGAUGGGAUAGAUAAAUAAAUAAAUGUAUAGAUGGAUAGAUAGCUGGAUGGACAGGUGGGUGGAUAGAUGGAUGGAUGGUGAAUGAAUAACUAAAUAAAUUGAUGGAUAGAUACCUGGGCAGAGGGAGCGAUAGAUGGAUGGAUGAAUAGAUAAAUGGAUGUAUGGAUGGAUGGUGGGUGAAUAGAUAAAUGGAUGUAUGGAUGGAUGGUGGGUGAAUAGAUAAAUGGAUGUAUGGAUGGAUGGUGGGUGAAUAGAUAAAUGGAUGUAUGGAUGGAUGGUGGGUGAAUAGAUAAAUGGAUGUAUGGAUAAAUGGAUAGACAGACAGAUGGACAGGUGGGUGAAUGGAUGGAUGGACAGAGGCAUACAGACAGAUUGACAGAUAGACUGAUAGACAGAUGGGUGGGUAGAUGGAUGGAUCAUGGAUGGGUGGCUAGAUGGACAGAUAGAUAGAUAGAGAUGUUAAGCACAAGAAUGUGCAUUCCUUGCUGUGUUCCUUCUACUAAUACAUCCCAUCAGAUAUUAAACUUAAGGAAGCUGUUAUUAAGCAAUAUUUGGAGCAACAUUAUCUGAGUUAUUUAUUUGGAAGAAAAUAUUCUCAGAAAUUGUGUAAAAAUAAGAGAACAGCGGUUCAUGAUCCUCAUGCUAGGGAUGACAUGCUUUGAAGAUUUGCUUACACUGCUAACAUGAUUAAAUACACUUGCUAAAUAAGCAUAAAUUCUCUGCAACUCAAUCACUCUCAUAAAUGGAGGGAAGUAGGCACCUAUAUGAAAUUGCCACAUGAGGAC
ensembl:lncRNA